rnacentral:lncRNA from 1 species
AGUUUCACUUUAUUCCUCGAACUCCUAAAAUGGACAUCUAACCCCCUAAACUCUAAUAUUUCAUUCAUAUUAUCCCUUCCGUCAAUUUUCCGUCAAGCUCCGUUAACCGGAAACUGAUGGAAUGGAUAAAACGAAUGAAAUAUUAGAGUUUAGGAUAUUAAAUAUCUAUUUUAGGAGUUUGGGGGGUUAAGUGAAACUCGCCAAAAGUUCACGAGGUAGCAGUGCAAUUUACUUCUAGGACUCUUGACUGUAAAUUAUUUUAUAAUAAUAUGCUACUUAUGGAUUGACUACUAACCCUCAAGUUAGUGAUCAUGUUUGAUUUUGAAUUUAUAUAUAUUUUUUAUCCUAAAAUAAAUUAUACAAUAAUUUAUUCUAUAUUUUAUUGUAAUAAAAUAAAAGCGAAAGAAAUUAAUUAGAGUGGCUUAAAGAUAAAAAAAAGAGCGAUACAACUACUUACAAUACUCGAACAAUCUACUGUUCUGAUGUACUCGCUAAUAUGGUUGAUUUACAAUAGGUGUUCUCACUCGGAUAUAGAGAUUUUAAUUCUCANAAAUUUACAAGUUAAUUUCGUCAAAAUUUUGAUAAAAUUUUAGCUCUAUUAGUUAUUAUAUUUGUUGAUCAUUCCAAUUUUAUUUACUAAAAAUAAUUAAAAACAAAAAAAUUAUAGCUAUAAAUAUUUUUAGAAAUAAACUAGAGAUGUUGCUCCUCGUUGUUCUGAUGAUGAAGCAUCUGAAUCGAUGACUAGUAUAUAACUUAAGGGUAAAUUGUAUUGUUACCCUCUGAACUUUUGGCGAUGUUUCACUUUACCCCUCGAACUCCUAAAAUGGACAUCUAACCCCCUAAACUCUAAUAUUUUAUUCAUGUUACCCAUUCCGUGAAUUUUCCGUCAAGCUCCGUUAACCGGAAACUGAUGGAAUGGAUAAAAUGAAUGAAAUAUUAGAGUUUAGAGUGUUAAAUGUCUAUUUUAGGAGUUUGGGGGGUUAAGUGAAACGCGCCAAAAGUUCAGGAGGUAGCAGUUCAAUUUACUUCUAGGACUCUUGACUGUAAAUUAUUUUAUAAUAAUAUGUUACUUAUAGAUUGACUACUAACCCUCAAGUUAGUGAUCAUGCUUGAUUUUGAAUUUAUAUAUAUUUUUUAUCCUAAAAUAAAUUAUACAAUAAUUUAUCUUAUAUUUUAUUGUAAUAAAAUAAAAGCGAAAGAAAUUAAUUAGAGUGGCUAAAAGAUAAAAAAAGAGCAAUACUAACUACUUACAAUACUCGAACAAUCUACUGUUCUGAUGUACUCGCUAAUAUGGUUGAUUUACAAUAGGUGUUUUCACUCGGAUAUAGAGAUUUUAAUUCUCAGUUAAUUUUCUGUAGUAUUCGUUUAUUCUUUUUAUCUUUAGAAGUAUUGUUCUAAAACAUUAUAACAUAUUAUUUUAUAUUUUUAUAUUAAAAAUUUUUAAUUAGCUGAAAUGAAGUACAAAAAUUUUAUUUUAGCCUACAAUAAAAUUACAUUGCAUAGUUUCGUAAGAAAUAAGUGCAUUUUCUAAUAAAAUAUUAUUUUAUAUUUUUAUAUUAAAAUUUUUUAAUUGGUUGAAAUGAUGUACAAAAAUUUUAUUUUAGACUACAAUAAAAUUACAUUGCAUAGUUUCAUAGAAAAUAAGUGUAUUUUCUAUAACAAUGCUUCUAAAGAUAAAAGGAACAAACGAAUACUAAAGAAAAUUAACUGAGAAUUAAAAUCUCUAUAUCCUAGUAAGAACACCUAUUGUAAAUCAACAAUAUUAGCGAGUACAUUAGGACAGUAGAGUGUUCAAGUAUCGUAGAUAGUUAGUAUCACUAUUUUCUUAUCUUUAAGCCACUCUAAUUCAUUUCUUUCACUUUUAUUUUAUUACAAUAAAAUAUAGGAUAAAUUAUGGUAUGAUUUAUUUUAGAAUAAAAAAUAUAUAUAAAUUCAAAAUCAAGCUUGAUCACUAACUUGAGAGUUAGUAGUCAAUCCAUAAGUAACAUAUUAUAAUAAAAUAAUUUAUA